UACACUGCAGGUUACGAUGAGCCUGUUGACGUCACAGCGCUGGAAGAGCUGAUUAUAGCUUUAUUUCCCCAUUCAAAAACGCCAAAUCGAGGCUAGGAACUCAUUCAUAGAUUAUAAGGUACUGUUUAUUUCUGCCAGAACGCGAUCUUUUGAUCGCUAAACAUAUUCAAGAUGGCUGUGUACUUCGUGUUCCUGUGUUUAACUGCCGUGUUCGGUGCACCAAAUCCGAAACAAGUCCAAGAAGUAGAACUGCGCAUGCCGCAAGUGCAACCUCAAGAGCCAGACACCUACCUAUGUAAAGCGAUGGAGGUUAAAGAUGCACACACAUAUCUAACGGGUUUUGUACCCCACGCUGACGCCAUGAUCGCCCAUCACAUCUUGCUGUACGGAUGUUCAGUUA
rnacentral:sRNA from 1 species